CGAACCCUACGGGACGCAGCAGUGAGGAAUAUUGGUCAAUGGGCGGGAGCCUGAACCAGCCACGCCGCGUGAGGGAAGAAGGUACAGCGUAUCGUAAACCUCUUUUGUCAGGGAACAAAGGCGGGGACUAGUCCCCGGAUGAGGGUACCUGAAGAAAAAGCAUCGGCUAACUCCGUGCCAGCCGCCGCGGUAAUACGGAGGAUGCGAGCGUUAUCCGGAUUUAUUGGGUUUAAAGGGUGCGCAGGCGGCCUGUUAAGUCAGCG
rnacentral:rRNA from 1 species